rnacentral:rRNA from 1 species
UACGGAGGGUGCAAGCGUUGCUCGGAAUUAUUGGGCGUAAAGUGCACGCAGGCGGCAGGAUAAGUCAGUUGUGAAACUCCCGGGCUUAACUUGGGGACUGCAGCUGAUACUGUUCUACUUGAGUACGGAAGAGGGGAGCGGAAUUCCCAGUGUAGAGGUGAAAUUCGUAGAUAUUGGGAGGAACACCGGUGGCGAAGGCGGCUCCCUGGUCCGAUACUGACGCUCAUGUGCGAAAGCGUGGGGAGCAAACAGG